rnacentral:rRNA from 1 species
AUUGAACGCUGGCGGCAGGCCUAACACAUGCAAGUCGAGCGGAUGAAGGGAGCUUGCUCCUGGAUUCAGCGGCGGACGGGUGAGUAAUGCCUAGGAAUCUGCCUGGUAGUGGGGGAUAACGUCCGGAAACGGGCGCUAAUACCGCAUACGUCCUGAGGGAGAAAGUGGGGGAUCUUCGGACCUCACGCUAUCAGAUGAGCCUAGGUCGGAUUAGCUAGUUGGUGGGGUAAAGGCCUACCAAGGCGACGAUCCGUAACUGGUCUGAGAGGAUGAUCAGUCACACUGGAACUGAGACACGGUCCAGACUCCUAAGGGAGGCAGCAGUGGGGAAUAUUGGACAAUGGGCGAAAGCCUGAUCCAGCCAUGCCGCGUGUGUGAAGAAGGUCUUCGGAUUGUAAAGAACUUUAAGUUGGGAGGAAGGGCAGUAAGUUAAUACCUUGCUGGUUUGACGUUACCAACAGAAUAAGCACCGGCUAACUUCGUG